GACGAACGCUGGCGGCGUGCUUAACACAUGCAAGUCGAACGGAAAGGCCUGCUUUCCCUUGUGGAUUGCGGGUACUCGAGUGGCGAACGGGUGAGUAACACGUGAGUGAUCUGCCCCCAACUUGGGUAUAAGCCUGGGAAACUGGGUCUAAUUCCCGAUAGGACUGCAGGGUGGUGCCUGUGGUGGAAAACGAUUUUCUAGUGGUUGGGGAUGAGCUCGCGGCCUAUCAGCUUGUUGGUGGGGUAAUGGCCUACCAAGGCGGCGACGGGUAGCCGGCCUGAGAGGGUGGACGGCCACAUUGGGACUGAGAUACGGCCCAGACGCCUACGGGCGGCAGCAGUGGGGAAUAUUGCACAAGGGGCGGAAGCCUGAUGCAGCGACGCCGCGUGGGGGAUGACGGCCUUCGGGUUGUAAACUCCUUUCGACCGCGAGGAAGCCACCUGGUUGGAAGGGUGGUGACGGUAGUGGUAGAAGAAGCACCGGCUAACUACGUG
rnacentral:rRNA from 1 species